AGAUCAAGAAACGAAGAAAACGAAUUUGGAUCGGGGAAAAACGAAAGUAAUCGAAUAGUCGAUCGUGUCCGCUGAUAUCCGAGAUUUUGGAGACGCGUUACGAGCUCGGGGAUCAUCAGCAUAGUCCAUCACACUAUCGACUUCUUUUGUAAUGGAUCCCGAACGAGCCGUAGCAGAUGAUGUUGAGAGUAUAGCGCCUGCUCCCGCACAAGGGACAGAGCCAGUAGAUUCUCGACCAAUCUCGAGUAACCAGGAGGGAGAGGCUAAACAAGCCUUUUACCAAAUGAUGAAUGACUGGUUUACUCAAUAUGUCCGAACUAAUCCGGUUGCACAACAACCUCCACCCCCGACUAAUCCAUCUUCGAUUCCUGUUAUACCUCAAGUAAGUGAUCCGAUGAGAUUACUUAAGCCUCCUGUUGACAAAAUUUGAAAACACGGGGCUGAAGAGUUCAGAGCUACUGAUGAUGAUGAUGCUGAGCGAGCUGAAUUCUGGCUUGAUAAUACUAUUCGAGUGUUUGAUGAGUUAUCUUGCACCCCUGAUGAGUGCUUGAAAUGUGCCAUAUCUUUGCUACGGGACACUGCAUA